UCACAUUCUCUUUCGGGAAUUCAGCUUCAUCCAAGCCACCCCUCACAACAGGGCAUCAUUCCUACGGGCCUUCUGGAGAUGCUUCCGAACUGUGGGCAAAAAUGGCGAUCUGCUGACCA